CGGGAACAUCACCUUUGCAAAUUCAUCUCUUGCCUGCAAUAUGAGGAAUAUCUCCGGCUUUGUUUCUCUAUUAUAAUAGAUGUAAAUUAAUGUUUUGCCUUUGUUUGCCGUGGUAAUCAUAGAGGCAAGUGUAUAUUCCUAACAGCUAUCUUAUUUUCAAUUUGCAAAGCAUACUGUGCUUAAUCCCACGAGCCAGCCCAUGGCUUCAGAUAUGAAUUUUAAAAGAUAAUUAGCCCAGUGCAGGAGGUGCUCUCUGAGACAAGGAGUGUGCACCAAAGUCUGGUCAGAAGAGUCCUUUGGGGGACCCCGUUGGGUCACAGAUUCUCCACCAACCCCCGUGGUUUAUUACUUUUUUUCAUUGCUGCUGUCUUUGUGAGAACCAGAUGAUUUGUUCAUGAAAAUUUAAAUCAUGUUCAUACUAGAAGCUGAAAUUUCUUUUCGGGGUUGUUAUUUGAGGAUUCUCCCACCAGCCUCCACCAAUAUUUUUUCAUGAUAUUCGUGGCAGGUGACAAUUUAUUUUCUGUUUUUUUCUUUUUUUUUCUUUAUAACUCUAACUGAAAGACAGCACGAGGUCUGUGGUUGUUGUUUGUAAUGUUGAUACCUAUGGCAGAUUAAGUGACCAUUCAUUAGAAAAAGCCACAGAAGGCCCUGGGUCCAAAAGACGAAUGCCCUUCCCGGCUUCCACCAUGGACUCUGCCUGCAAGAACUUUACCCCCAGCAGGAAAUCAGUUACGAAAACAAGCACACGUUUCAACGGGCUGAAGAAACGUGCCGGUCUGCCUGCAGCACGGGAUAUUAGCCGACUGUUCCUCGCACACAGGGCUGGCUUUGCUUUUGCUUGGCUGUCGAGGUGACACAUGCACACGAGUGGAACCUCUGUGCCUAGCACUGUGCUGGGACUCUGGGGGGAUGCACAGGUGAGCAGGUGCAGCCCACGCUGUCAGGAAUACCCUGAGAACCUGGCAACACUCCCGGGACUCAAGAAGGCAGGUGGGAUGAGAACUACAACAGAGGUGCAAAUGUUUACACCUAGAAGAUUUCACUACCAAAGCUGCUACUUUGGAGUAUCUGAUGAAUAA
rnacentral:lncRNA from 1 species